rnacentral:rRNA from 1 species
CAGGGAUUGCCCUAGUAACGGCGAGUGAAGCGGCAACAGCUCAAAUUUGAAAUCUGGCUCUUUCAGAGUCCGAGUUGUAAUUUGCAGAGGGCGCUUUGGCUUUGGCAGCGGUCCAAGUUCCUUGGAACAGGACGUCACAGAGGGUGAGAAUCCCGUACGUGGUCGCUAGCUAUUGCCGUGUAAAGCCCCUUCGACGAGUCGAGUUGUUUGGGAAUGCAGCUCUAAAUGGGAGGUAAAUUUCUUCUAAAGCUAAAUAUUGGCCAGAGACCGAUAGCGCACAAGUAGAGUGAUCGAAAGAUGAAAAGCACUUUGGAAAGAGAGUCAAACAGCACGUGAAAUUGUUGAAAGGGAAGCGCUUGCAGCCAGACUUGCUUGCAGUUGCUCAUCCGGGCUUUUGCCCGGUGCACUCUUCUGCAGGCAGGCCAGCAUCAGUUUGGGCGGUGGGAUAAAGGUCUCUGACACGUUCCUUCCUUCGGGUUGGCCAUAUAGGGGAGACGUCAUACCACCAGCCUGGACUGAGGUCCGCGCAUCUGCUAGGAUGCUGGCGUAAUGGCUGUAAGCGGCCCGUCUUGAAACACGGACCAAGGAGUCUAACAUCUAUGCGAGUGUUUGGGUGUCAAGCCCGAGCGCGUAAUGAAAGUGAACGGAGGUGGGAACCCGCAAGGGUGCACCAUCGACCGAUCCUGAAGUUUACGGAAGGAUUUGAGUAAGAGCAUGGCUGUUGGGACCCGAAAGAUGGUGAACUAUGCUUGAAUAGGGUGAAGCCAGAGGAAACUCUGGUGGAGGCUCGCAGCGGUUCUGACGUGCAAAUCGAUCGUCAAAUUUGGGCAUAGGGGCGAAAGACUAAUCGA